rnacentral:rRNA from 1 species
UACGUAGGGGGCUAGCGUUGUUCGGAUUCAUUGGGCGUAAAGGGUGCGUAGGCGGCGUGGUAAGUCGGAUGUGAAAUCUCGGAGCUUAACUCCGAAACUGCAUUCGAUACUGCCGUGCUUGAGGACUGGAGAGGAGACUGGAAUUUACGGUGUAGCGGUGAAAUGCGUAGAUAUCGUAAGGAAGACCAGUGGCGAAGGCGGGUCUCUGGACAGUUCCUGACGCUGAGGCACGAAGGCCAGGGGAGCAAACGGG